GACGAACGCUGGCGGCGUGCUUAACACAUGCAAGUCGAACGGAAAGGCCCUGCUCUUGUGGGGGGCUCGAGUGGCGAACGGGUGAGUAACACGUGAGUAACCUGCCCUUGACUUUGGGAUAACUUCAGGAAACUGGGGCUAAUACCGGAUAGGAGCUCCUGCGGCAUGGGGGGGGUUGGAAAGUUUCGGCGGUUGGGGAUGGACUCGCGGCUUAUCAGCUUGUGGGUGGGGUAGUGGCUUACCAAGGCUUUGACGGGUAGCCGGCCUGAGAGGGUGACCGGCCACAUUGGGACUGAGAUACGGCCCAGACUCCUACGGGAGGCAGCAGUGGGGAAUAUUGCGCAGUGGGCGGAAGCCUGAUGCAGCAGCGCCGCGUGCGGGAUGACGGCCUUCGGGUUGUAAACCGCUUUCGCCUGUGACGAAGCGUGAGUGACGGUAAUGGGUAAAGAAGCACCGGCUAACUACGUG
rnacentral:rRNA from 1 species